GGAUAUGAACAAAUAUGAGCUUUUUGGGCAAUUGUCAAGAUAUGCAUAAUUAAGAUCAAGACCAAAGCAAAUAUUCUCUUUUGUCUCACUUAAAGAGGAAAGAACUCAAGGUUCUUGGAAAUGCAUUAAAGGACAAAGAAACAAAGGAAAUAAAUUAUAUUCUUGCACAUGUGUUGGAAGCAAAAAGAAUAAAAUCAUCUUUGGACCCUCAUGUGGCUUUUUCGAUCCAUUAAGGAAUUUUGAGGAAAAGGAAUAUUCAAAUGAUCAAUAUUUAUCUCCAAGCUACAUGACAUCAUCAAGAUGACCUUAGCAAACAUCAUCAAGUGGGCAGCAAGUUACAAAGGCUUGAUCACAGCUCAUCACCAACUAAGCAAGCACAUGCUCUACAAUUUCGUUCAAGUUUUGGUUGGGACUGAGAGAAUGUUCUGGGCGAAACUGAAGAAACAUUCUCUACAU
rnacentral:lncRNA from 1 species